AGAAUCAACGCUGGCGGCGUGCCUCAGACAUGCAAGUCGAACGCGAAAGUCCCCUUCGGGGGACAAGUAGAGUGGCGCACGGGUGAGUAACACGUAGGUAAUCUACCUUCGGAUGGGGAAUAACAACCGGAAACGGUUGCUAAUACCGCAUAAUGCAGCGGCACCUAAUGGUGACAGUUGUUAAAGCGGGGGAUCGAAAGACCUCGCGUCUGAAGAGGAGCCUGCGGCGGAUUAGCUAGUUGGUAGGGUAACGGCCUACCAAGGCGACGAUCCGUAGCC
rnacentral:rRNA from 1 species